UACCGUGGAAAAAGAGAGCGAUCUAUGUGACCUCUAAACCUAGCGCCGCCAUGCCACGCGGCCGCCUCUUCCAAGAUCCUGGUCCUCCCCACCGUAGACUCGCUGUCCCAGGUCCACCCCCUACUGGCCUCCCCCUCUCUCGCCGGCCGCCAGCAGCAUCCUCGUGGUCUCAGGGACGCCAGCUUCCAGGCGGCGCCCAGCCCCACUCCGGCCGCCUCGACCUGCAGCUCCGGCACACGGUGCACUGCGGCUAGAAGGGAAGAUGACGGAUGGCGGGGUCGGCACAGAACUGCACAUCGCCACUCCUACUGAGUACACUGUCGGUGUCGAUCAGACUUGGAUUGAGAUUCAUAUUUCUAUGUUGCUUUUUUAUUUGCCUGCCCACUACAACAAUGAUAUCAGAGACAUACUAAUUAGUUUAUGUGAUCCUCGGCACAGGCGGAGCUCUCGGUACGGCGAGGACAGGCGCCCGUCCUACCUUGAUUUGCCGGGGAAGAAAAUUACGUACAGGUAUACGUAUGUUUACUCGCUCUGAUUCAUCGAUAGUUCCUGAAAAAAUCGUUGUCUUGUUGGGUCGUGAGUCAGUGAGCAGCGAUUCUGUCCUCCCAAGGUUCCAGCCGUACAACGCAGCACGAAGCCAGCCGGAGCUUACCUAGCAGCACAGAGCGGCGCACGGAGUCGGCGGACGGCUGCGGUCGGCGCGCGAUCUGGUGGACAGCGAGAGCAGCGAGGCCAGCAGCCAGCUGGAGCGGCGAGGGCGCGGUCAGCGUCCACAACCCACCUGCAGCCCCCUCAUCGACUCCGUGUUCUUUUUCCAUCCUUGUUCUGUUUUCUCUUUUUGUAGUGGUGUGUACACCAGUGGCUGGAGAUUCAUAACAUAUUGACGAAAUUUUCUAAUUAAAAACAGUGAGAAUGUGUGAUAUGUGAUAGUAAUUACUCAGUGCUUUACAGUCAUUUUUAUAUGUGCUUUAUGCUCUGUGAUAGAAAUUUGUCUGAAUAUUGAUGACUAAUUGACAAUUGCUGAUUAAAAACAGUGAGUGUGUGUGGGUGGCGCAGCCGCGUUGCCAACUUUGCUGGCGAAGGGAAAACAUGGAUAUGAAGGGGAAGGGCUAGCAAAGGCAAAGGUGAGGUGUGUAAUUUUUUUGAAUUUUAGUGGCAUUUUCAGCUAAAAGUAUUUGUGUGCACUACCAUUGUCUUUCGAAUUUUUUUUGUGCUUUAGAGUUCGCCCCACCUCAGAAAAAAUCGUCCUAUGCCACUGAUUCCUCGGGGAAAAAAUGUCCGUCCCGGUGAACUGCCACCCUCUCUGUCGUGCGACCAAAAAUUGUCCAUGUGUCCUCUGCCAUGUGAAGCUUGUUGCCAUCAUGCAGACUGACCUCGUGCCCCCCACUGUCGACCAGCGGCAAGCUAGCGGGCGAUUUGGAGAACAUAAGGGCCUUGCGCGAGCGCACAAGGCGGCCAAAUCAUCUAUAGAAAACUUGUACGUGCGGAUUCUAAAGGUAGCCACCACAAGGAUAAACUACAGAAGUAGAGAAAGCAAGGAGCUGUUGUUCCACUAUCAGCAUGUAGAAACUAGAAAUCAUAUACUCCUUCCGUUCCUAAAUAUAAGUCUUUUUAGAGAUUUCGAUAUGAACUACAUACGGAGCUAAAUUAGUGAAUCUACACUCUAAAGUACAUCUAUAUACAUCUGUAUGUAGUCGUAAAAAGACUUAUCUUUAGAAACGAAGGGAGUAGAUAUAUUUCAACUAGUUUGUGACAUGUAAUUUUUUUAUUGAUGAUGUGUACAUUUGAGUUGUAAAAUACUACUGCUCUCAUUAAUACAAUGCUAUUAUUUUGCGCUAUGCCA